ACACGACUACAUUAGAUACCCUGUAGUCCAGGGUGUAAACGCUGCGGGCUUGGUGUUGGGGGUCCUUUGAGGGCGCCCAGUGCCGGAGAGAAGUUGUUAAGCCUGCUGCUUGGGGAGUACGUCCGCAAGGAUGAAACUUAAAGGAAUUGGCGGGGGAGCACCGCAACGGGAGGAGCGUGCGGUUCAAUUGGAUUCAACGCCGGACAACUCACCAGGAGCGACGGUUACAUGAAGGCCAGGCUGAUGACCUUGCCUGAUUUUCCG
rnacentral:rRNA from 1 species